rnacentral:lncRNA from 1 species
GGGGGGCAACUUUCGAAGAUGAGUCGGCAAAGCGACGAUGACUCGAUAAUAUAAUAACUUUUUCGGAAGAAGAUGUUCGAAGAAUUCAGACUUUCCAUGAUGAUGCUAUUAUUGUUUCGGCAACAAUAGCAAACUAUGAUAUAAAAAAAAUCCUUGUAGAUAAUGAAAGUUCAACCGACGUUUUAUUUUAUUCGGCUUUCUCCCGAAUGCGACUGUCAAUUGACCGACUCAGAAGAGUCUC